CUACUUACAUGGCUGGGAAAAUACCAUGAUCACGAAGGUGGUUUUCCCAGUGCUAGGCUUAUCCAUUGCACUCCAGAUGUGCUGACCCCUGCGAUUUCCCCAAAUGUGAGAAACUCGACUGCAUAAUUUGUGAUAGUGAGGAUCUGCAUUCACACUUUACCCUG